AUGCAUACUAUGGACUUUCUACCUUACCUCCAACAUCUUUGUCUCCAUUGCUCCUCAUGAUCUUCUCAUCUGGGCUCCUCAGAAGAUCCCUUCCUCAUCGUCACCUGUCUCCAUCACGUUUCACUUCCUCACUCACCUGGAACCCACUUAUCGUCAGCAACUGAGCUACGUUUUAUGCUGUAGUGGACAACAGAUAGAGAUGGAGCUGAUGGAGGCGAAGACCCAGGUGGAGCCGAAGAGUUGAUGAGACGGAGCGACACUGAUGGAGACAGUGUGCCAGAGGAGCAGGUGGGACUGAGGACCAAGGCGCAGCCAGAGGGAAGGCGGAGCCUGAUAGAGCGAAUGGGUGGAGGGGAGGGGACGAAGCGCAGCCGAAGGCCAGGAAGUCUGUGGUGCAGGCAAAACGAUGUCGAACCAAGGCAGAGCCGGAGGGACGAUGGAGCCAGGUGGAGUCGUAAGGACAAUGGUCCCAGGUGGAGUUGAGGGAGGGAGGAGCCAAGGUCAGCAAAGCCCCUGCCGUAGAUGUGCAGAGAAGUUCAUUUGUUAUUGAAGCCAUCCAAUUACCUUGAUGACUGUGCCAGGAACCAGGCAGUGAGAAAGCCAGAGGUGCCAAUAGUCAUAGCAGUAUGUGAUGAAUACUGCAGGGGCACCAACUGGGUUGGUGCGUUCUUGCACCACCUCGGCAUGACCCAGAGUUCCCAACUCUUAAUCGAGUAGGUGAUAAGUUUUCUCUCAUUUUCCCAUUGAGGGCCAGCUGGGACAGAGUCAAUUAAACCUACUGUGGUGUGGGAGUUACAGACUCCACAAGCCCAUGAUUAUCUCCCACAACUCCAAAAGGAUCAUCACAUUUACAGAUAAGGAAGAAGGAGAUCUGUCUGCACUCUUUAUUUGGAAAUGGUAUAAGAUUAAGUCACAUUUUCAUAUGUAGCUACACUGAAUAAUCCAGCUUCAUUGCCAUAUGCAGGUAGAUGCCAUCUGCAAAUCUGGUCAUUUCUGAUAUCAUAAAACAAAAUAUCAUAUCAUUAAGGUCUUAUCUUAUAACUUCACCAAUGAGCUGUAGCAUAGUCAUGUUGUUGUAGGACACUGUGGUAAUCAUGGAAAAAUAUGCAGCCGCAGGAACAAAAAUCUCUUCUAAUGGAAGCACAGAUUUAAUUAAAAAGAACAUGACUCAUGAAAACAAACUUUUACAUUGUCAAAGUGUAUAGAAUUAAACAAGCAACUGAAUGGCAACAUUUUUAUAACAAUUAAAGAGGUCAUUAUUA